rnacentral:rRNA from 1 species
UACGUAGGGUGCGAGCGUUGUCCGGAAUUAUUGGGCGUAAAGAGCGUGUAGGCGGCCUUACAGGUCAGCUGUGAAAACUCGAGGCUCAACCUCGAGACGUCGGUUGAAACCGUAUGGCUAGAGUCCGGAAGAGGAGAGUGGAAUUCCCGGUGUAGCGGUGAAAUGCGCAGAUAUCGGGAAGAACACCCGUGGCGAAAGCGGCUCUCUGGAACGGUACUGACGCUGAGACGCGAAAGCGUGGGGAGCGAACCGG